UGUAAAAAAAAGAAAAAAAGUUGUCUGC
rnacentral:piRNA from 1 species